UGGGGAAUAUUGCACAAUGGGCGCAAGCCUGAUGCAGCCAUGCCGCGUGUAUGAAGAAGGCCUUCGGGUUGUAAAGUACUUUCAGCGGGGAGGAAGGGAGUAAAGUUAAUACCUUUGCUCAUUGACGUUACCCGCAGAAGAAGCACCGGCUAACUCCGUGCCAGCAGCCGCGGUAAUACGGAGGGUGCAAGCGUUAAUCGGAAUUACUGGGCGUAAAGCGCACGCAGGCGGUUUGUUAAGUCAGAUGUGAAAUCCCCGGGCUCAACCCGGGAACUGCAUCUGAUACUGGCAAGCUUGAGUCUUGUAGAGGGGGGUAGAAUUCCAGGUGUAGCGGUGAAAUGCGUAGAGAUCUGGAGGAAUACCGGUGGCGAAGGCGGCCCCCUGGACGAAGACUGACGCUCAGGUGCGAAAGCGUGGGGAGCAAACAGG
rnacentral:rRNA from 1 species